ACGACAUGAUGGGGACAUUUCCUGGUGAGGUCCUUUAAUCUUUCCCAUGACUCAUGAAACUGCUCACCAUCUUGCUGUGAGAAGCUAGUGAGAGGUCAUCUUAUUUG
rfam:Cephalotus follicularis DNA, scaffold: scaffold6755, isolate: St1.